UACGUAGGGUGUGAGCGUUAAUCGGAAUUACUGGGCGUAAAGCGUGCGCAGGCGGUUUUGUAAGCCAGAUGUGAAAUCCCCGGGCUUAACCUGGGAAUGGCAUUUGGGACUGCAAGGCUUGAGUGCGGCAGAGGAGACUGGAAUUCCUGGUGUAGCAGUGAAAUGCGUAGAUAUCAGGAGGAAUACCGAUGGCGAAGGCAGGUCUCUGGGCUGACACUGACGCUCAUGCACGAAAGCGUGGGGAGCAAACAGG
rnacentral:rRNA from 1 species